ACAUACCUCGUGGCACGUUCAAACGCAUGCUGAACGUCAUUCGACACUACCGCGGCUUUUGCUCGAUGUGCGUCGUUUUGUAGGUACUUUGGAACGCGCAAGACUAGCGAAGAUCGGGACACUUCGCUGCACUGUGGCGCAGCGGGCGAGCAGCGAUGCCACCGAUUAUUCUCCGCUGAUGUGUGCGGACGGGUACCUUCGCGAGAGUGUGCUGUCGAAAGGACGGAAGCUGUCAUUGGCAAUGAGAAGUAUGUCUAUGACGUGGAAGAAGCUGUUUUUUGAAGAGACAGCGCUUGUGACCUUUCGGCGAAGUGCCAAGCGCCGCACGACGUAAACUUACAGAGCGCCAACCCAUGUGCAUCGGUGGAAAGCAAGGCCAAAGGGAGUCAACUAUGCUCUGGACAUUUUUUUUUU